GGGCGGGGAAGGAAACGUGAUGAUUGCGCAAGCGCAGAAAAUGGGCCCUCUUGGCCGUCGGGACUUGUACUGUUGGUGACUCCGUCUCCUUAGACGGUGGAGCCUGCGUGACCCAGAAAGGCCAUGGUGAGCUCCUUAGAGGGAAGUAUAGUACAUAUUUCCUCCAUGUCUCCAGUACCCAACACAGUGCCUGACGUUGAGAGGGCUCUUAAUAAGUGUUUGUGAAAGACUGGUAGAGCAAUGCCCUAUGAAACAAGAAGCUGGAUAACACUGCUUAGGACUCAGAGGAGAGAGGAGUGUGGUCUACACUGCACAUCUCUGCCAAGCCUGGCACGGGAUUUGAAGUUCCACACCACUGAGCCAAACACAUCCAGACCCUCUUCCAACCCGGGGAUCUGGUGGUAAGCAAAAUACUAUUCCAGCAAGUGAUGCCCCCAGUCUCCUAAGGAUAUAAGCAAAAGGAUAAAGCCUCGCCAUGAGCACAGCUGUGUGCUGAGUCCCAGGAGCCCUUCCAGAGAACCUUCAAACAUGAGAAACAGGAAGUUGUGUUUGGCUGCGGACAAACUCUCUCAGUGCCCCUGGGACUUACAAGAUGUUUGGAAUGAGGAACGAUCUGGUUUCUGAGUCCCUGGGCUGCAGCUGUUGAAUUUCCAGACACAAACAAGUAUGCGUUCUGAGAGCCUCGCCGAGCCCACACAACCGGGAGAGCCAAGCUGGAUUCCAUUCUGCUUUGCACAUCAGCAGCUCUGCUGCCAGCUGAACUCCAGGGCAAAAGCUGUGCCUGGUAAUGAUGCAGGCAGCAGGGAUGGCACAGCUGGCCUGGCUUAGGCCGUUAAGGGGGACACGCUUGGCCUUAUUUGGGGGAGAGCGAGAAAUGGAAGGCGAUGAAGAGUUGCGGAAGCAUACAUCAGCCUCCACAAAACUGGUGCACAGCAGGGAAACAAUCUGGUUUUGCUAGUCAUCAACAA